CAGCCGCCGCGGUAAUACAUAGGUCGCAAGCGUUAUCCGGAAUUAUUGGGCGUAAAGCGUUCGUAGGCUGUUUAUUAAGUCUGGAGUCAAAUCCCAGGGCUCAACCCUGGCUCGCUUUGGAUACUGGUAAACUAGAGUUGGAUAGAGGUAAGCGGAAUUCCAUGUGAAGCGGUGAAAUGCGUAGAUAUAUGGAAGAACACCAAAGGCGAAGGCAGCUUACUGGGUCUAUACUGACGCUGAGGGACGAAAGCGUGGGGAGCAAACAGGAUUAGAUACCCCCGUAGUCCCUGUCUCUUAUACA
rnacentral:rRNA from 1 species